UGGGGAAUAUUGGACAAUGGGCGCAAGCCUGAUCCAGCCAUGCCGCGUGAGUGAUGAAGGCCCUAGGGUUGUAAAGCUCUUUCACCGGUGAAGAUAAUGACGGUAACCGGAGAAGAAGCCCCGGCUAACUUCGUGCCAGCAGCCGCGGUAAUACGAAGGGGGCUAGCGUUGUUCGGAUUUACUGGGCGUAAAGAGCACGUAGGCGGACUUUUAAGUCAGGGGUGAAAUCCCGGGGCUCAACCCCGGAACUGCCUUUGAUACUGGAAGUCUUGAGUAUGGUAGAAGAGAGUGGAAUUCCGAGUGUAGAGGUGAAAUUCGUAGAUAUUCGGAGGAACACCAGUGGCGAAGGCGGCUCACUGGACCAUUACUGACGCUGAGGUGCGAAAGCGGGGGGAGCAAACAGG
rnacentral:rRNA from 1 species